rnacentral:lncRNA from 1 species
GACGCGCCGUUUGGCCGGGACGGCGUCGUUUCGUUUGAGGACGAUCCCGGCGAAGACGAUGAAGACGGGCUUGUUGCUGCCGGUGUUGAUUCUGAAGGAGGAGACGACAAUGGUGGCGACGGUGUAGUAGCCGGAGCGAAGGGGGAAGGUGGGUAUGAUGGAGGGAUGGUGGAUGGAUAGGGUGAUAGGGAAGGUGGGGAAGGUGGGGAUGAAGAUGAUGGAGGUUGGGUGACAGGGGAAUUGGAAUUUGGAGUUGGGGCAUAGGGGUAGGGUGAUUGAGAUGUUGGGGAAGGAGUGUUUGGAGGUGACGGAAUGUAGGGAGGUUGGGAAAUGGGAGAAGGAGUGGUGGAUGGUGGUGUGGAAAUGUAAGAAGGUGGCUGGGAUAUUGGGGAAGGAGUGGUGGAUGGUGGUGUGGAAAUGUAAGGUGGCUGGGAUAUUGGGGAAGGAGUGGUGUUUGGAGGUGAUGGGAUGUAAGGAGGCUGAGAUAUUGGGGAAGGAGUGUUUGGAGGUGAUGGGGUGUAAGGAGGCUGGGAAGUAGGAGAAGGAGUAUUGGGUUGUGGAGGCACAUAAGGUGACUGAGAAAAGGGUGAUGGGGUUAUUGGAACAAAGGGUGGUUGAUGAUGAGGGGAAGGGGUGUUUGGAGGUAGAGGAGCAUGGGGUGGAUGGUUAUUAGGGGAAGGAGCAUAAGUGGGAGAAGGUGUGUUGGGAGGUAUGGGAGCAUAGGGUGGUUGAGCUUUGGGAGGAAAGGGAAGAUUAGUAGGAGGUGAAGGUGCUUCUGGAGGAGUAUAAACAGGGGGAGGAGUUUGAUGAGGUGGAUAAGGAGCUUUUGGAGGAGAAUAUGGAGGAGGCUCUCUCACAGCCAACACCACAAUAAUAAGUUUCUGACCCUUCUCACAAUUAUAAUCUUUUCCACUGAUGAAAUAAAAGGGACCCGAACGAUCAAACUGAAACUGGGAGGCACCAUCCUCAAACUUCUUGAUCGGGUUCUUCUUGUUACAUUUCUCAUAAUCCUCUUUGUUCACCACCAAAACCGAGUCCGAUCC